rnacentral:rRNA from 1 species
GGAGACAGCCACACCGCCUGAAGUUUAGAUUAGGUAAUCCGUCGGAAGCUGAGCAGGUUUGGGCCUGGUCAGUACGUGGAUGGGAGACCAAUGAAGAAAGCUGGGUUGCUGCU